GACGAACGCUGGCGGCGUGCUUAACACAUGCAAGUCGAACGGUGAGGAGGAGCUUGCUCCUCCGAUCAGUGGCGAACGGGUGAGUAACACGUGAGUAACCUGCCCCAGACCCUGGGAUAACAGUUGGAAACAGCUGCUAAUACCGGAUACGAGACGGAGAGGCAUCUCUACCGUCUGGAAAGAUUUAUCGGUCUGGGGAUGGACUCGCGGCCUAUCAGCUUGUUGGUGAGGUAAAGGCUCACCAAGGCGACGACGGGUAGCCGGCCUGAGAGGGCGACCGGCCACACUGGGACUGAGACACGGCCCAGACUCCUACGGGAGGCAGCAGUGGGGAAUAUUGCACAAUGGGCGAAAGCCUGAUGCAGCGACGCCGCGUGAGGGAUGACGGCCUUCGGUGUAACUCUUCUAGCAGGAGAAGACGAAAGUAGACGGUACCUGCAGAAGAAGACACCGGCUAACUACGUGCCAGCAGCCGCGGUAAAAUAAGACGUACUACCG
rnacentral:rRNA from 1 species